CCGGUAUCAUCGAAAUUUACAGACCUACCAGUGGAAACUAAGGUUUUAUAAUUGGAAUUUGGAAUGCUGGGUGUAUUGGGCUGUAUUUGACUGUACACAUGCCACCCCAUUGUAAAUUAAGAAGAGAUAUUACUGUAGAAAACAAUACCAUUCAUUAAAUAUAUAAUUGGUUAGUAAUGCUGACAUGGAGAUUAUAAGUGUGGAUGCCAACUGGAACUGGAGCUACUCAUGACAUUUGGGCAAACCAGAGGCAUUAAGCAACAUCUAGAGGACUUAAGCUGGAAUAAAUCCUUAUGAUUACUUGGAGAUCCAGGAUAU